UACGUAGGGUGCAAGCGUUGUCCGGAAUUAUUGGGCGUAAAGAGCUCGUAGGCGGUGUGUCGCGUCGGCCGUGAAAACUCGGGGCUUAACCCCGGGCCUGCAGUGGGUACGGGCAGACUAGAGUGCGGUAGGGGAGACUGGAAUUCCGGGUGGAGUGGUGAAAUGCGUAGAUAUCCGGAGGAACACCAAUGGCGAAGGCAGUGUCCUGGGAAGUACCUGACGCUCAGGUGCGAAAGCUAGGGGAGCGAACAGG
rnacentral:rRNA from 1 species